GAUGAACGCUAGCUACAGGCUUAACACAUGCAAGUCGAGGGGAAACGGCAUCGAAAGCUUGCUUUUGAUGGGCGUCGACCGGCGCACGGGUGAGUAACGCGUAUCCAACCUGCCCAUCACUUGGGAAUAACCUUGCGAAAGUAAGACUAAUGCCCAAUGACAUCCCACGAAGGCAUCCGAAUGGGAUUAAAGAUUUAUCGGUGAUGGAUGGGGAUGCGUCUGAUUAGCUUGUUGGCGGGGUGACGGCCCACCAAGGCAACGAUCAGUAGGGGUUCUGAGAGGAAGGUCCCCCACAUUGGAACUGAGACACGGUCCAAACUCCUACGGGAGGCAGCAGUGAGGAAUAGUGGUCAAUGGGCGAGAGCCUGAACCAGCCAAGUAGCGUGCAGGAUGACGGCCCUAUGGGUUGUAAACUGCUUUUAGAAGGGAAUAAAGUGGGUCACGUGUGACUUUUUGCAUGUACCUUAUGAAUAAGGACCGGCUAAUUCCGUG
rnacentral:rRNA from 1 species